UAUUUGUAAAUUAUGGUGGAAAAUAAGUAUUUGGUCAAUAACAAAAGAGGUUUUGUCUUAAAAUUUCACGAUACAUGGCUCCAUUGAUUCUUCCCUUAACACAGAUCAGUCGUCCUGUCCCCUUUGCAGAAAAACAG